rnacentral:tRNA from 1 species
UCGGGGAUCGGCUAACGGUAGGCCGGCAGCCUCUGAAGCUGCUUAUGGAGGUUCGAGUCCUUCUCCCCGAA